GACGAACGCUGGCGGCGUGCUUAACACAUGCAAGUCGAACGGGCCUGUCUUCUUUUUUGGGGGUGGGUUGAGUGGCGAACGGGUGAGUAUCACGUGAGUAACCUGCCCUUCGGUCCUGGAUAACCGCUUGAAAGGGCGGCUAAUACGGGGUGGUCCGGUUGGUCCGCAUGGGCUGGUCGGGAUAGAUUCACUGUUUUUGGUGUUUCGGCGGGGGAUGGGCUCGCGGCCUAUCAGCUUGUUGGUGGGGUGAUGGCCUACCAAGGCGGUGACGGGUAGCCGGCCUGAGGGGGUGGGAGGCCACACUGGGACCGAGGUCCGGCCCAGACUCGUGCGGGAGGCAGGAGUGGGGGGUAGUGCACAAUGGGCGGAAGCCUGAUGCAGCGACGUCGCGUGAGGGAUGGAGGCCUUCGGGUUGUGCACCUCUGUUUCCGGUGGUGAAGGCCCUGUCCGUGUGGUGGGGUUGACGGUAGCCGGGGAUGAAGCGCCGGCUAACUACGUG
rnacentral:rRNA from 1 species